rnacentral:snRNA from 1 species
GUGUUUGCUUCGGCAGCACGUAUACUAAAAUUAGAACGAUACAGAGAAGAUUAGCAUGGCCCCUGCACAAGGAUGACACGCAAAUUCGUGAAGCGUUCCAUAUUUUU